AUGCCGGCGACCGCCUGCGGCGCCUGCGCGGCUGCCUUUCCCUCCUCCGCCCACGGUCAUGGCCCUCCGCCGCCUUCCGGGAGCAUACGGAAGCUCGUCUCGCCCACCCCCAGGCGGCUAGGGCACCGGCUGGCCGCUCCCAUGGCCUCCACCGUCGACUCGCCCGGCAGCUCCUCCGACUUCGCCAAGCGCAUGGACCGCGCCUGGCUCAUCUCCAAGCCGCUUGCAGAAAUGCAGGGAAAGGCUGCGUACAAAAGACCCAAAGCGGUCGGACCCUUCUCUGGACCCUGCGCAAGCUGGAGCUACAUGCACCGGGCUGUCCUAACGCAACCAAGUCCGACUUCUUGUUCAUCUUGUCAAUCCACUGGCGAUGUGGAGUGCAGGUGGUGUGCAGGCACGGGCUUCUUUAUCCUUGGCAACAAUAUGUUGUGUGAAGUACCCUCGAAAAAUACAAGAUGUGUGAUUUGCUCUGGAAAGGGCUUUUCACGUUGUGCUGAUUGCAAAGGAACUGGGUUUCGCGCCAAGUGGCUUGAAGAGCCCCCUGUUGACAAAUGA
rnacentral:rRNA from 1 species